UACGUAGGGUGCGAGCGUUAAUCGGAAUUACUGGGCGUAAAGCGUGCGCAGGCGGUUUUGUAAGCCAGAUGUGAAAUCCCCGGGCUUAACCUGGGAAUGGCAUUUGGGACUGCAAAGCUUGAGUGCGGCAGAGGGGACUGGAAUUCCUGGUGUAGCAGUGAAAUGCGUAGAGAUCAGGAGGAAUACCGAUGGCGAAGGCAGGUCCCUGGGCUGACACUGACGCUCAUGCACGAAAAGCGUGGGGGAGCAAACAGG
rnacentral:rRNA from 1 species